GACAGAGGCCCCAAGCGUUAGGCGGAAUCACUGGGCUUAAAGCGUGUGUAGGCGGAUCGUUAAGUGUCUUGUGAAAUCCCACGGCUCACCCGUGGAACUGCUGGGCAUACUGGCGAUCUUGGGCCAACUAGGGGCAGCCGGAACAAGCGGUGGAGCGGUGAAGUGCGUAGAUAUCGCUUGGAACGCCGAAGGUGAAAACAGGCUGCUGGGGUUGUGCCGACGCUGAGACACGAAAGCCAGGGGAGCAAACGGG
rnacentral:rRNA from 1 species